GCAUUAGUGGACUAGUGGUUAGGCCACGUCGCUCUCACCGCCACAGCCCAGGUUUGAUUCCUGGCCAGGGAC